UACAGAGGUCUCAAGCGUUGUUCGGAUUCAUUGGGCGUAAAGGGUGCGUAGGUGGUGCUGUAAGUCAGGUGUGAAAUUUCGGAGCUUAACUCCGAAACUGCACUUGAUACUGCGGUGCUUGAGGACUGGAGAGGAGACUGGAAUUUACGGUGUAGCAGUGAAAUGCGUAGAUAUCGUAAGGAAGACCAGUGGCGAAGGCGGGUCUCUGGACAGUUCCUGACACUGAGGCACGAAGGCCAGGGGAGCAAACGGG
rnacentral:rRNA from 1 species